rnacentral:lncRNA from 1 species
AUGAUUGUAGAUGCCUAUAUCUUGAUUGUAGGUACCUGCAUCUUAAUUGUUGGCAUAUACAAUCAAGAUGUAGGCACCUACAAUUAUGUAUGAAUGUGCCUACAAUCAUGUAUGAAGACACCUUUCUUAAGAUUUUUUUUCUCCAAUUUCAGAUUUAAAUUUUGUUGAUUUGUUAACCCCUGUUCCGUGAAUGUAGAAGGAAGA